rnacentral:rRNA from 1 species
UAAGAGGGAUAUAGGAUCAGAGAUUUCUAGAUAGGUUUAGGAUGUUAACAUCGGGUGGUUUUACUUUAUGUAUAAGGUGCUUGCAAGGGAACCUUACGUAUUUUCAUUGGAAGUACCGCUUGAUGUUCCUAUUAUCCAUCUAAGGAUCAUAGAAAAGGUCCUAGUUUUUGUUGAUGCGUGGGGUUGCUAGUUGCUGUACUCGGUUCUCCGAUAUGAUGCCUUUGUGCUCGCCCCCCCCUGCGCCAAACAUAAAAUCUCACACAGAUUGGAAGUAAAAAUCGUAACAAGGUCUCCGUUGGUGAACCAGCGGAGGGAUCAUUACAGAGUUAAUAAACUCCCAACCCAUGUGAACUUACCUAUGUUGCCUCGGCGGGAGAGCCUACCCGGUACCUACCCUGUAGUUACCCGGGAGCGAGCUACCCUGUAGCCCGCUGCUGGCCGACCCGCCGGUGGACAGUAAAACUCUUGUUUUUAGUGGAUUAUCUGAGUGUUUAUACUUAAUAAGUUAAAACUUUCAACAACGGAUCUCUUGGUUCUGGCAUCGAUGAAGAACGCAGCGAAAUGCGAUAAGUAAUGUGAAUUGCAGAAUUCAGUGAAUCAUCGAAUCUUUGAACGCACAUUGCGCCCAUUAGUAUUCUAGUGGGCAUGCCUGUUCGAGCGUCAUUUCAACCCUCAAGCCCCAGUUGCUUGGUGUUGGGAGCCUGCAACCCCCAAGGGGCUGCAGCUCCUCAAAGCUAUUGGCGGAGUCGUAUUGGCCCUAAGCGUAGUAAUUUUUUCCUCGCUUCUAGUGGUUCCAGUGCUGGCGUCCAGCCGUAAAACCCCUAAUUUUCUAGUGGUUGACCUCGGAUCAGGUAGGAAUACCCGCUGAACUUAAGCAUAUCAAUAAGCGGAGGAAACUUCCCCACUGACUCUAAGGAUUUACACGGCUGAGAGAAUAAGUUGAGUGAGCCUGCUUUCGUUUAUUGGUUGAUGGCUCCAACAUCUAACUUUGGAGUCUUCAGGGCCCCCUUGCCGCUCAACAGAAAAUCCCCCAUCAAAAAAUAAUAGAACGCCAUAAGUUUUCCAUGAUUCAUUCCACCCCCCCAAUAGUAAACCGCAAAUAAAGACACGAAAAUAAGUGCACUCGUAGAGAAUAC